rnacentral:lncRNA from 1 species
CUUGAACAGCUGGCCACUGCUGUGAUCAGCAAAAGAAAACCAGGUUCUCCAGCUAUCCGGGCACAGUGAUGUUCAGCAAAACGUCACACAACAGCAGCUCAGUUCUGGCAGAUCCCAACGGCACAGCACGGGACCCCCUGUCUGCAAUGCUCCCGUGUUGCUGUGGGUUUUCUUGCUCCGCCGCAGUACUGAAAGCUGCAGUGUUCCUUUCUUUCACUACCUUUUGUUCUUGGAAAUAAUCCCUUUUCCACGUAGCUGUGGAACUAUGAAGCUGCCUGCUGCAGUUGCAUUCUUUAUCUGGCUGUCAUCUGUACUUCACAGCGAAGCCCUGAGCUGCCUCUGCCAGAGCCCUGCUGCUCUUGGCUCUGGAUGCGCCAGCGACUGCCUCACUUCUGGUUGGAGGGCUUAAGUGGAGUAGGAUUGUUUUACCUUUCUUCUGUGAUGCAGAUAUAAUGCUGAGUAAAAUGUGUAUUGGGAAAGGUGGGGGAAGACCACUACUACCUGUUGAUGUUAGAAAGCAAUGUAUGGUAUUUGUAUAUCUUCUUGGCAUUGAUUUCCAACUACCAGCAGCUAAAGCAGAGACACGUUCAUUAAAAAUAUCCUCACAGACCUCAAGUGUGCAAAUGCAAGCUGCAUCCUGACUAGAUGUCAAACGUUCUGGGUGUAACUGUGCACUUCCCAUCACUAAUGCAAAGCACUCAGUGCCGUUCUGAUGCAUGGGAUGUGCCCAUCUCCUUUCCUUCCUUUGGACAUGGCUCCUCUGCAGCUGUGAUUUCGCGGUGGCACAACCUGUGGGUGGGUCUGCAACCACCCCACCACUCUGUGUAUGCAUUUCCCCCACUGCACAUGGAGACUUAAAGCCAGUACAAGGCGAAAA